UCGCAGCUCGCCUCCCGGUGUUCGUAAUUCCUGAUAGUUCGGUCCAGCGCUGCGUGUCAUCUCCCAGCCAGCCGCCGGCUGGUGGGAUAAUUUACCCUUAUUUGGUCGCAAGGCGGCAGAAAUUCAACCUUCCCCUCCCCACCUCAUUCCCCCUCCAUCUUGCCAGCCGCCCCCGCCCCGCCACUCCCCGUCUUGUCAGGGCGAAACGGCCGCCGAGCCGUUUCCUUCCGCCGCCGCGACCCCCGGCGGGGUCUGAGGUGCCGCCAGGCUGAGGAAAACUCUCCGCAGCGGCUUCGCGCCCUCCCUCUAUGGCAGAGGGAAAGUCCCGCAGCGAGCAGAGGCUGAGGCAGUUUUUAGCCUUAUUUUGGCUAAAACUUGGCAGGCUGACAGCCCUCCUUGCGCACAUCCCCUCUCAGGGGCAGCGAGGGCGGUUUCUCCCCUCGCCCGGCCGCCCUGAACCGCAGGAGCCUGUUGUCAGUGCUGUUGUCGCUACUGAGGUGAUCCUGGUCUUUUUUUCACACGGGUUCUGACCUUCGAGAAAUCUGAAAGAAGUCAAUGGCAAAUGGGAACUCUCAGCUCUCCCUACCUCCAACAGGAGCUGCUCUGUAUACAUGCAUGUAAAUGGGAAAAAAGCAGGAGCAGAUGAAGCAGGUGGUAACUGGAACUUCACCCUGUUGCCGGGACUGUUAUUAACUUAGAUCAUACACAACUCACGCAGCAUGACAGAGCUUCUUUACACCACCGCCCUCAAAUACAUCGACUAUGCUGUGUGGGAUCACUGCUGAGUGUGGGAAGGUGGGUUGCCUGUGAAUAUUAAAUUACAUUUUUCUGAUGAGACUGCAAAAAUACUGUUAAUCAGUGCCAACUGUGGUGGUGUGGUGUACAUACAGAACUGUGAACACCAGAGAACUGCUGGCAUGGGUAAUAGCUUUUAGCCCACAGUAAGCUAGAUUAGACGUAGAAUGUUGUGCCCUCCUCCCAGACUCUAAAAUCCUCUAGCUACCCUAAAAACAUAAGUUGUUUUAGGAAUGCACAGCUGCAAGAGGAUCUGCUUCACUCUUCACACAGUGAACUCUGCUCAACUGUAGAAACGUUUGAGCUUUUUGAAUAGAAAUAUGCACGUUUCCGGUUAGCCACCAGAUGGAGCUCACACCUCCCCAUCACACAAAUCCAUGCACAUCUGCAAAGUUAAAGCACUUCAGAGACGUUACAAAGGAUGCAGUUUCUUCCACUUCAUAAAAGUCGGAGGAAGUCUGUGAUUAGCUGGAUGUUUACAAAUAAAAGGAGGAUCUGGAGAUAGAUCAAAGAUAACUCUCCAGUUUUGGCAUGAUAUCAGGUUCCUGUACUAAUAGCAUCUGCAUGGGUUUGACCGUUGCAUUAAGUGGUUGAACUCGGCAUAUCUCAUCAUGUAUUAAUAAUGAUUUUUUAAUGCUUAGCGCAUUUAUUAGAAGUCUGAAGAUUCAGCCAGCUAAGGACCUGAAAAAACAAAAAAAAAUAACACCCCCCCAGCUAACAAGAUCUUCCAGACUCCAUUUAAAAGAGAAGCACCUACUGGGUUCUUCCUCACCCUGCUUUCUACAAUGUAAAGGGAAUCAAGAAGCAAAGAUAAGCACUGUUCCAAAAUCCAAAGGAUGUAGUACUUCAAGCUUAGUAAAUAGGAGCAGCAGCACUCAAAGCCUGUUCUCGUAUUGAUCUAAGUAGCUUGGAUGGUCCAAUCAUACCAUAUAUGCUUUUUACUGAGAAGUCUAUAGUUCAUGCAGGAUCUCGGUAACUUUGGCACAGCCCCAGUCACUGGGGAGAAAAGCAGAUCUGAGAUAGAAGAUUGUAGUGUGUGAAAUACACUGAAUUAAUGUAUAUGUGUUUUAAGGGACAUCUUUGUUUUGACUCUGUGUAACAAACCAACAUAGCUUGUGAGGUCUGGAAGGCCACAGACUAUUCCUACUUUCAUAGUAGUGCUCUGUUUGAAGCCAGUAUUUCUAUUUGGGGGUCUAAGCCACACUGAACUUGAUCAAAUAAACAUUC